CAUGUUUGUACAGAUACCCAUAGUGGGUUCAUUGUUGCUACCCUACAAACUGGGGAAGGCAGCAAACAGGUCAGUGCCCACCUAUUACACUGCUUUUCUGUCUUGGGGCUUCCCAAACAAAUUAAAACUGAUAAUGGUCCAGGUUAUAUCUCAAAGGAUUUUCAAGAAUUCUGUACACAGUUACACAUCGCACAUCUUACAGGGAUUCCCUGUAAUCCUCAAGGACAAGGCAUGGUAGAAAGAGCACAUUUGUCUUUAAAAACCACUACUGAAAACAUUUAAAAAGGGAGAAUGGUACCCUAGGAAAGGUACCCCCAGAAAUAUAGUAAACCAUGCCCUUCUUAGUUUAAAGUUUUAAAAAUUGGAUGCUGAUGAAAAGUGAGCUGCAGAUCACUUUUGGCACCCUAAUUCACAAAAACAGUUUGCCUCGGUCAAAUGGAAAGAUCCUUCAGAUAAAAAAUGGCGUGGACCUGACCCAGUGCUUACCUGGUGGAUAAGGUCAGUCUGUAUUUUUUCAAGAAAAUGAUGCAGUCAGAUGGCUGCCAGAGCGAUUGGUAACACAAAUUGAUAAUGAUAAUAAAUCCAGGGAAUAACCUCUUCCCUGAGAAUACGUGUUCUUUUUCUUUUCAGGAAAAAGAUUGAAUUCGGCUUGCUGGUGACGUUCCUUUGGGCGGUCCUUUGAGCCAAUGAAAAUCACUUGUGAGGCUUC
rnacentral:lncRNA from 1 species